CCGUAGACAGGAGCGGGCACGCGCCCUUUCGCGGUAACGUUCUCGCGUCCCUGGGUCGGCGGCGGCGCGGCGUGCGCGCGCGUGAGCACACACGGAACCGGGAAUCGCCAAAGGACAGGACAGAAGUGCUGAGGAAUUUUCACCCCUGAGAGCAGCCUUCAACCAAUGACAAAUGGAAGCUGAAGGAUAUAUACAUAUACCACCUGUGGCAGGCUGGAAAAUGUCCUCUGAAGACAUCAGGCCCUGAAACUGUUGAAUUUUAUGUUGUAGAGCCAAAGAAGUCUGAAAUCAAGAUGUUGGCGGAGUUGGUUUCUUCUGAAGACCAGAAGUCUGAAAUCAAGAUGUUGGCGGAGUUGGUUUCUUCUGAAGGCUCUGCAAGAGAAUUCACUUCAUGCCCCUCUCCUAAUUGAUGGCACCAUCAGCAAUCCUUUGGGUUCCUUUGGCUUAUAGAUGCCUCACUCCAAUCUCCUCCUCCAUCUUCACAUGGCCUUCUUCCCAGUGUCUCCAUGUGGAGACAUGGAGACACUCCAUGUCUUCUCUUCUUUCUUUUUUUCCCCCACUAUUUGAUUUUUUUUAAUUUAAUUUUUAUUUUAUAUUGGAGUAUAGUUGAUUUACAAUGUUGUAUUAGUUUCAGGUGUACAGCUAAGUGAUUCAGUUAUACAUAUACAUAUAUUCAUUCUUUUUCAGAUUCUUUUCCCAUGUAGGUUAUUACAGAAUAUUAAGUAGAGUUCCUUGCGCUAUACAGUAGGUCCUUGUUGAUUAUCUAUUUUGUAUAUAGUAGUUUGUAUAUGUUAAACCCAAACUCCUAAUUUAUCCCUCCCCAAAAUAUGGAACACUUCGUGAAUUUGCAUGUCAUCCUUGCACAGGGGCCAUGCUGAUCUGCUCUGUAUCAUUCCAGUUUUAGUAUAUGUGCUGCCAAAGUGAGCACUCCUCUUUUUUCUUUUAUAAUGACAUCCAUCACACCUAUUUAUUAGGUCUGUUAGGAGAGGGGGUAUGUCUAAUCCAGGAUUAUCUCAUUUUGGGAGCCUUAUCUUAAUUAUAUCUACAAAGACCCUUUUCUAAAUAAAGUCACAUUCACAGGUACUUGUGGUUAGGACUUGGAUAUAUCUUUUGGGGGGACACAAUUCAACCCACUACACCUGGAUAAGGAGUAAGAAAGAGGGAGGUAUCAAGGAUGACUCUUGGGUUUUAGGUGUGUGAACUAAAGUACUGUCAUUUGGUGAGAUAUGGAAUAUUAUAAUAGGAACAGAUUUGGAGAAGGCAAUUAUGAGUUUAGACUUGGACAUAUUGGGAUCAAGGUGACUUUGAGACUACCAAGCAGAUAUAUUGGGUACACAGUUGGCAUAUAGGACCUGGAGAAACUGAGUGGAGGGUGGUGGUAUGUAUUAAGAUGGAGAAUGCUGGAAGAAAACUAGGAAAGACUCAGUCAUGUUAUGUUUAUGAUGUCUAAAAAUAUCUACAUGUAAGUAUCAAGAAGGCAUUUGGAUUAUAAUGUUGGAGCUGUAGAUAACAAAUUCAAGAGUCCAUUUUAUAGAUGAUCAUCUAAAUCAUGAGAUUGCCGAGGGUAAAGGGGGUUGAAUAAGAAGAAAAGAGGGUUCAGAACUAUUCCAUUAGGAAAUUUCAGCUACAAAGGAAGAAUUCUCUCUUCCCUUGAGGAGACUGAGAAGUAGUGGCCAAAGAGGUAGGAGGAAAACUAAGAGAGUAUGGCAACAAUAGAAUAAUAAAAACUGAGGAAAAGGAGUGUUUCUUUUAAAAGGUUGAAAGCCAGGUGAAAGAGUGUUUCAAAAUGGAGGGAGUGAUUAACAGAAUGAAUGCUGUUGAAAGAUCAAGCAAGAUAGAGACUGACAUUUUUUCCUUAAAUUAGGGACAGGGAAGUCAUUGAUGAGGGUAAAGAAUUGUGGACAGAAGCUAGAAUGGGGGGGAGCAGGUGACAAGUGAGAAAAUAGAGAAAUCUUUAAAAUGGCAUUUUUUGGAAAUAAACUUACAAAAAGCUAUAAACAUAAAAUAGUACAAAGAACACAUACAUCUUUCCCAGAUUUGCCUACUGUUAACAUUUUAGAAAAUUUUAUUGAAGUAUAGUUUACAAUGUUGUGUUAAGCAAAGUGACUUGGUUGUCCAUAUAUUUAUUCUUUUUCACAUUCUUUUCCAUUAUGGUUUAUCACAGGAUAUUGAAUAUGUUCCCUGUGCUAUGCAAUAGGACCUUGUUGUUUAUCCACUGUUAACAUUUUAUCCCAUUUACUUUAUCCCUUGUUCUGUGUGUAUGUGUGUGCAUGCAUAAUUUUUUUUUCUAAAUCAUUUGAGGGUAAAUUACGUAUAUCAUGGCCUUUUAUCCCAAAUACUCUAGUGUACAUUUCCUAAGAGCAUAAAUAUUUUCUUACAGAAUAUAGCAAUUGUUAAUUAUAAAUAUCAAU